UAAGAGUCUGAUACAGCGCGGUGAGGGUCUGUAAAGACCAGGUAAGAGACUGUUAUAGUGGGUGAGGGUCUGUUAUAACUGGUGAGAGGCUGUUAUGGCAGGUGAGGGUCUGGGAUAAUGGGUGAGGUUCCGUUAUACCAGCUGAGAGGCUGUUAUAGUGGGUGAAGGUCUGUUAUAGCGAGUGAGGGUCUGUUAUACAAGGCGAGAAUCUGUUAUAGUGGGUGAGGGUCUGUUAUACCAGGUGAGAGUCUGUUAUAGUGGGUAAGGGUCUGUUAUAGCGGGUGAUGGUCUGUUGUACAAGGUGAGAGUCUGUUAUAGUGGGUGAGGGUCUGUUAUACCAGGUGAGAGUCUGUUAUAGUGGAUAAGGGUCUGUUAUAGCGGGUGAGGGUCUGUUAUAACGAGAGAGGGUCUUUUAUAGCAGAUGAGGGUCUGUUAUACCAGGUGAGAGGCUGUUAUGGCAGGUAAGGGUCUGGGAUAGUGGGUGAGGUUUUGCUAUACCAGCUGAGAGGCUGUUAUAGUGGUUGAGGGUCUGUUAUACCAGGUAAGAGUUUGUUAUAGUGGGUGAGGGUCUGUUAUAUCAGGUGAGAGUCUGUUAUAGCAGGUCAGGGUCUACUAUAGCAGUUGAGAGUCUAUUAUAGUAGGAGAGUGUUUGAUAUAAUGGGUCCAAGUCUGUAAUAGCGGAUGAGUGUCUGUUACAGCAAGUGAGGGUCUGUUAUAACAGUUCAGGGUCUGUUUUAACAGGUGAGGGUCAGUUAUUGCAGGCAACAGGCUGUUAUGAGGUUCUGCUAUUGUGUGUCAGGGUCUGUUAUAACAGGUCAGGAUCUAUUACAGCAGGGGCGAGUCUAUUAUAACAGGUCCUAGUUUGCUGCUAAUUCCACUCCAUAAAGUAAUAUGCAUGUGUUUAUUUUUUCAGUGUGACUGAAAGGAAGGCAUCUCAGAAUGUAAACAAGGUUGUAUAGAAAUAAUAA